AACGAACGCUGGCGGCAGGCUUAACACAUGCAAGUCGAGCGCCCCGCAAGGGGAGCGGCAGACGGGUGAGUGACGCGUGGGAACGUGCCCUUUGGUUCGGCACAACUCCGGGAAACUGGAGCUAAUACCGGAUAAGCCCUUCGGGGGAAAGAUUUAUCGCCAAAGGAUCGGCCCGCGCCUGAUUAGCUAGCUGGUGGGGUAAUGGCCCACCAAGGCGACGAUCAGUAGCUGGUCUGAGAGGAUGAUCAGCCACACUGGGACUGAGACACGGCCCAGACUCCUACGGGAGGCAGCAGAGGGGAAUAUUGGACAAUGGGCGCAAGCCUGAUCCAGCCAUGCCGCGUGAGUGAUGAAGGCCUUAGGGUUGUAAAGCUCUUUUGUCCGGGAAGAUAAUGACUGUACCGGAAGAAUAAGCCCCGGCUAACUUCGUGCCAGCCGCCGCAGUAACAC
rnacentral:rRNA from 1 species